UGUUCAAAUGAGCAGCCAAGAUUACAGAAACAGACAUAAAGUAGGUAUUUAAACACACACAGAGUCCUCCGGUUGUGCCUCAGCAUGGGCAAGUGAAUGCUCUUCCUUAUAAAGUCUUCAAUCCAUAAGCACUCUGCAGCAUGUCUGGACUAGAUUUGAAAUAUUGCUUCCAGGUACCAUCCCAAUAUCUGCUGAUGUUAGAGAGCUUCACUCAUUCUGAUGGAUAUGCAUAAAUGGAACCAGGAGUGAAUGGUCCAUUUAUUCCAGCCACAAGAGACGAUCCAGAGUAAAAUUUGAGGCUUAAAUUAGUGGCAAGUGAA